rnacentral:rRNA from 1 species
GGAUUCCCCUAGUAACGGCGAGUGAAGCGGGAUGAGCUCAAAUUUAAAAUCUGGCUGGUUUACUAGUCCGAAUUGUAGUUUAAAGAAGCGUUUUCGGUGGCAGCCUGGGUAUAAAUCCUUUGGAACAGGGUAUCAUAGAGGGUGAGAAUCCCGUCUUUGACUCAGUGCAUGCUACUAUGUGAUACGUUUUCAAAGAGUCGAGUUGUUUGGGAAUGCAGCUCAAAAUGGGUGGUAAAUUUCAUCUAAAGCUAAAUAUUGGCGAGAGACCGAUAGCGAACAAGUACCGUGAGGGAAAGAUGAAAAGAACUUUGAAAAGAGAGUUAAACAGUGCGUGAAAUUGUUGAAAGGGAAACGCUUGACACCAGUCAUGCGAGCGGAAAAUCAGUCUUUUGCAGUGGGGAGUUGUGUGGGUUCGGACCGCAAGGCCGGCCUGCGCUGCAUCUCUGCUGUAAGUGAUGCACUUUUUCGUUUGCAGGCCAACAUCAGUUUCUUCUGCUGGACAAAACUCUUGAGAAGGUGGCAGCUUAGGCUGUGUUAUAGCUCUUGAGCGAUACAGUGGAGGGGACUGAGGUUUUCGCAGCGCGUGCUCUCGGGCAAGGCUGAUUGGGUGCUAUGGGAUCGUUCGGUGUACAAUGCAUGCAUUUUGCGCCGUGUCUUUUCUAUACUCGCUCAACUCGGCUCUUCCGCGCUUAGGAUGUUGGCUUAAUGGUUUUAAUCGACCCGUCUUGAAACACGGACC